rnacentral:rRNA from 1 species
UACGUAGGGAGCAAGCGUUGUCCGGAAUCAUUGGGCGUAAAGCGCGCGUAGGCGGCCUCGUAAGUCCGUUGUGAAAGUCAAAGGCUCAACCUUUGAAAGCCGAUGGAUACUGUGAGGCUAGAGUCCGGAAGAGGCGAGUGGAAUUCCCAGUGUAGAGGUGAAAUUCGUAGAUAUUGGGAAGAACACCGGUGGCGAAGGCGGCUCACUGGCUCGUAACUGACGCUCAUGCACGACAGCGUGGGGAUCAAACAGG